UGGACUUGUGCAAAUCACUUUUGUCGUUAGAAGAUAUUCUUGUGCUUAUGUACUACUUGGAUCUACUUUCGUUUAGUUUACGAUGUUCGAAGCGCAUCACUUGUUGUACCCUUGCAAUCCGAUGAGCGCGCAUUGGUAAGUUUAUAAUUCCGUUAUAUUGAAAGUAGUGUGUAUGCCCCGUAGUACUCGUUGCGCUAGGAAUUGUAGUUUUUUUAGUAUAGCAUGCGAACAGGAUGUGAUAAUAAGUUUAGAAUAAUUUUCCCAGAUGCGGAAUUUAAUUCUGUAUCACCCUGUAUUUGAAUUUAUUACGAGAAAAUUCCGUAACGCAAGUUAUAUUGAAAGUUGUGUGUAUGCGCCGUAGUACUCGUUGCGCUAGGAAUUGUAGUUUUUUUAGUAUAGCAUGCGAACAGGGUGUGAUAAUAAGUUUAGAAUAAUUUUCCCAGGUGCGGAAUUUAAUUCUGUAUCACCCUAUAUUCGAAUUUAUUGCGAGAAAAUUCCGUAACCAAAAAGCUGUUAGUUCCUGAUAUUUUUUCUUGACCUGAGAAUUUUCUUUUUAAAUAUUGUCAUUUUUUUGACAACACUCUGUAAAUUUGUUUUCUUUGAUAUCCAAUCAACCCUUGACCAAUUUUCUGUGUUCGAGUGUUUUCUUUCUUAAACUUUAGAUUUCCUUUUUGUAACGCCCUGUAUAACAAUUUUCCAUUUUGCAAAAGAUGUGUUAAGUUUAUUGUUGCAAGUUUGCUUUGGAAGUAUGAUUUUUUGGUAAUGUUGGAAUAUGCGUCGUUAUAACACCGGCAAAAUAACAAAAUUAAUCAGGGCUAUCCAAUACUUUUAUUAUUGUAUAAAGAUAAAGUCUUAAUGUGUGGUAUACAAUAGGAGCAUUAUUGUACGAAUGAGUCAAAGGUUUGGCUUUAAGUUUUUGCAACGUUUUAAGUUAGUUCGAUUAAGAACUUGUAAGAGAGCGGUAUUCUUUUCGGUGCAGCCAAGUUAAAUAAAAUAUUAAAGCGAAAAUCUUUCUAAUUAUUUAAAUACCAAUCCAUAACUUCUAAUAGGUAACAACCUGUAUAUUAGAUUUCCUGACAGUAUGUAGUAAAUCGCCUUUAUUUGUGAGUUUUGUUUAAAACUUGUGAUUUUCCUUUUGGAACACCCUGUAUAUUCGCUUUUUUUCCUUCAGCUUUGGUUUUAGGGCUUUCUUUUUGAACUCUAAUUUAUUUGUAACACCCUGUUUAUUAGUUUUUCCCGGAGCAUCGAGUGAAAACGAGCAAUAUUUGUAGUGUUUAAAUGUUUUCCUUUUUGUUGGUUGAAUUUUCUAUUUGUGACACCUUGUAUAAUCGUUAUCCUUCACAUCCCUGAAAAUUUUGCUUUGACUGUUAUUAGAAUUUUACUUGUUGUUCUUUGAAUUUUCUUUUUGUAACGCCCUGUAUAUUUAUUUCCCAGAGUAACGGUGAAAAACGAGCGAUAUUUAAGUAUUUAGAUUUUUUUCCUGCCUGCACUUAUUUUUUUCUUUAGUAACACCCUGUAUAUUUAUUUCCAUUUUCAAUCAUCUAGAAAAUGGGCUAUUUGCUAAUUUCUUUGUCCCGUUAGAGCUGUACGAAGUGGUACUUGCCUAUAUGUGCGCGGCUAACCAGGUCGUAAGUCUUGUUUCAAUAUGGCUACAUGUAUUUUGUUGACUUGUAAAAUCAAAACUUGUAUUCUAGUAUUAAUAAAGAAAUAGUAAGAUA